rnacentral:misc_RNA from 1 species
GAAAUGCGAUAAGUAAUGUGAAUUGCAGAAUUCAGUGAAUCAUCGAAUCUUUGAACGCACAUUGCGCCCGCCAGUAUUCUGGCGGGCAUGCCUGUUCGAGCGUCAUUUCAACCAUCAAGCCCCCGGCUUGUGUUGGGGACCUGCGGCUGCCCGCAGGCCCUGAAAAACAGUGGCGGGCUCGCUGUCACACCGAGCGUAGUAGCAUACAUUCUCGCUCAGGGCGUGCUGCGGGUUCCGGCCGUUAAACGACCUUCAUAACCCAAGGUUGACCUCGGAUCAGGGAGGAAGACCCGCUGAACUUAAGC